GACGGAGGGUGCUAGCGUUGUUCGGAAUGACUGGGCGUAAAGGGCGCGUAGGCGGCCGACCCAGUCGGGUGUGAAAGCCCGGGGCUCAACCCUGGAACGGCACCCGAUACUGGUUGGCUGGAGACCGAGAGAGGUGAGUGGAAUACCCAGUGUAGAGGUGAAAUUCGUAGAUAUUGGGAAGAACACCGGUGGCGAAGGCGGCUCACUGGCUCAUUUCUGACGCUCAGGCGCGACAGCGUGGGGAUCAAACAGG
rnacentral:rRNA from 1 species